rnacentral:rRNA from 1 species
UACGGGAGGCAGCAGUGGGGAAUAUUGCACAAUGGGCGCAAGCCUGAUGCAGCCAUGCCGCGUGUAUGAAGAAGGCCUUCGGGUUGUAAAGUACUUUCAGUCGUGAGGAAGGUGUUAAGGUUAAUAACCUUAGCAAUUGACGUUAGCGACAGAAGAAGCACCGGCUAACUCCGUGCCAGCAGCCGCAGUAAUACGGAGGGUGCGAGCGUUAAUCGGAAUUACUGGGCGUAAAGGGCACGCAGGCGGUUAAUUAAGUUGGAUGUGAAAUCCCCGGGCUUAACCUGGGAAUGGCAUUCAAGACUGGUUAGCUAGAGUCUUGUAGAGGGGGUAGAAUUCCAUGUGUAGCGGUGAAAUGCGUAGAGAUGUGGAGGAAUACCGGUGGCGAAGGCGGCCCCUGGGACAAAGGACUGACGCUCGAUGUGCGAAAGCGUGGGGAGCAAACAGGAUUAGAUACC